rnacentral:rRNA from 1 species
AUUGAACGCUGGCGGCAUGCUUUACACAUGCAAGUCGAACGGCAGCACGGGUGCUUGCACCUGGUGGCGAGUGGCGGACGGGUGAGUAAUACAUCGGAACGUGUCCAGAAGAGGGGGAUAACGCAUCGAAAGAUGUGCUAAUACCGCAUAUGCUCUGAGGAGGAAAGUGGGGGAUCGAAAGACCUUACGCUUUUGGAGCGGCCGAUGUCUGAUUAGCUAGUUGGUGGGGUAAGGGCCUACCAAGGCGACGAUCUGUAGCGGGUCUGAGAGGAUGAUCCGCCACACUGGAACUGAGACACGGUCCAGACUCCUACGGGAGGCAGCAGUGGGGAAUUUUGGACAAUGGGCGCAAGCCUGAUCCAGCCAUGCCGCGUGAGUGAAGAAGGCC